GACAACAGUACAAAAAUCAUUCUAAGAGUAAAAGAAUUUUCUAUACAUUUUUUUUUUCUGAAUAAAAAAGUGAGAUUGAAAAGAAUUAGAGCUUCUUAAAAAGAAAACCUUUUUCCAUGUAAAUGUUGUUUGUGAAUAAUGUGUUUAUUUCUGUGGAGAAGUUGGGUGUUGGGCUUACCACGACUAAAGCUAGUUGGACAAGUGAACGGUACUCGACUCUCCUGACUCAAUGGCGCAGUACGAAAUAGCGGUAGAAUAUUAAACAAAUAAAUAAAAGCAAUAAAGAAACAAUAAAAUGAAAACAAAAAAAGUGACAGAAUCAAGAAAGCGGGAAAAGAACUGUAUUUCAAAUCACAAUAUAUUUCAACCCAUAAGAGUUUAAAAUUCCAGUCUUUGAAAACUUUUUGGAAUAUUCUAAAAAAAUGCUGGUUUUUUUUUGUCUUAAAUUUCUUGCCCUGCAAACUGUGGUAAUAUUUUAUGAAAAACUGCUGAAUAAAGAUGUAUGCAAAUGACUUGAACGCCCAGAAUCUGUGGCAAGAUUUAAAUGGGCUCAAGGCCAUUUUCUCUUGAGUCGAGAAUAACACACUGCACACAUUAUUGUCGUCUCGUUAUCAUCAUCGCAUGCACAUCUUCAAAUGCUGACUGACCUCCUUGUCGUUAAUGGGACCUUGAGAGAGACUGUGUGGGCCAGAUGCUCUCAUUCCACGGCGCUUCUAUAUAUAACUGGCUUAUUAUAAAAACAUUUGAAAUGCCAGACAAUUGCAAAAAACAACAAUGAAAACAAAAAAUGUACGUGAACAAGUGAUAACAGUCUGGCAUGCAAAUGCAGACGCUGCGACGUAACUGCAGCCACAGUCGACCGUCGACGUGGCCGCUGCAUUAUUUGCAACCGGAUGUCUGGUCUGGUCCAGCAUCCAAAAGCAAAAUUUUGACAGUCAUAACAUUCAUAAACAACAACAAAGCAAAUGAGUUGCAUAAAUGAAUUACAACAAUGAAUGAAUUUACAUUUCCACACACACACACACACACACACAUACACAAAUACACGUAGUGCGCCCAAAUCAGCUGACUGAACUGUUUAGUGAUAGCUGUCAGACAUGUGGUCAAACUAACAGUCACACUGCUCGAAACAACAGCCAUCGAAAGAAAUCUAAUUGCACUUGGAGAGUUGCAACUAGGUGGCUAUUCAUUCAUAAAAACCCUGUCGCUCACACACAGAAAAUCAAGCAGCAGCAGCAGCGGCACCACAUGUUAUCCCCCCCAUCCCGCCCCUGCCUGCAGAAAUCAAUUAACCAUCAAAGCCUACUCAGUGUGACAAGCAAACAUAGACGUUGCCAAACACCGUAUGUCAAUGUUGAGAAUUCAAAUUGGAAUUUGUACUGAACUCCCUGGCCCACAUAAUGGUAGCAAAUAAAAGCCAAACAUGAUGGAGAUAGACAAAAAAACAAAUAGAAAUUCAUCAAAAUGGAAAAAUUUAUCGCGCAAAGAGGCCAUCGUUCCUAUGAAACCGUACAAAAAGGCAACGGAAACGGCAGCUAUGACUGCCAAACACACAGAUGGGACAGAAACGUUCGUUUGCCCGUAUGUGUUUGAAUUCAUGGUUGUAUGCUUAAGUCGAAGGAUAAUUUAACUGCAUUGAGGAAUACUACAAACAAAUUACACAUGAACGAGGACAAACUUCAGAAUAACCACAUAGCAGCAGCAACCAAAACAUGUCAUUUGAAAAUUUACAACACAAAGACCAGAAAACUCCUCUACAUAGGUGUCUCGUAAUGUCUCACGUAUGAGACGCAAAGUCAGAAUAUGCUCCUUAAAGUGCUGUUGUCAUGUUAACUGGAAAAACGCCCAAGUUGUUCUUAAACGACACCAGAUUUAUAUCUUAUUGCGGAGAAUAAAGACACUACAAUGCAAUGCUCUGCUACCAGAUGAUUUUUAUGGACGGAUGGUAAUUUACCUUAAAUUACUCAAUUCUUAUUCUGUUAACAAUGCAAUUUCUUGGGAUCAGGAACAUGAAGCAAUCGAAAUUGCCAUAAUGCGCAAAAUACGUCAUUAAUGCAAUGUUACGUGUCCAAAACAAGGCCAAUGGCAAUUCAGGAGAAAAACCAGCUGACUCGCAGAACCAGUAUACUAGAGUGUAUGAUAUGUUGCUUUGAGCAGUUCACUAAAUAUGAAAAUGCAAAUGAAGAGCCCCUUACAAUUGUACAUUAAAUGGUAUGUAU